rnacentral:rRNA from 1 species
UACGAAGGGAGCUAGCGUUGUUCGGAAUCACUGGGCGUAAAGCGCACGUAGGCGGAUUGUUAAGUCAGGGGUGAAAUCCUGGAGCUCAACUCCAGAACUGCCUUUGAUACUGGCGAUCUUGAGUCCGGGAGAGGUGAGUGGAACUCCGAGUGUAGAGGUGAAAUUCGUAGAUAUUCGGAAGAACACCAGUGGCGAAGGCGGCUCACUGGCCCGGUACUGACGCUGAUGUGCGAAAGCGUGGGGAGCAAACAGG